rnacentral:rRNA from 2 species
UACGUAGGGGGCGAGCGUUGUCCGGAUUCAUUGGGCGUAAAGCGCUCGCAGGCGGUCGGCCGCGUCCGGCGUGAAGGCCCUCGGCUCAACCGAGGGUGGUCGUCGGAAACGGGUCGGCUGGAGGUAGGUAGGGGGACGCGGAAUUCCCGGUGUAGUGGUGGAAUGCGUAGAGAUCGGGAGGAACACCGGCGGCGAAGGCGGCGUCCUGGACCUGGCCUGACGCUCAGGAGCGAAAGCGUGGGGAGCGAUCCGG